GUUCCGGACCGGACGCCACCCGGAACCGGGGCGUAUAUGAACGCGGCGGGGUCAGACGCGGAGGGCGCACGCCGCGCUUGGAUCUCGCUCGGGCAUCAGACUUCAGACUCUGAAAGGAAGGACGAGAAGAGAAGAAACCGCGGAUUCAUCCCCGUCAGAGGGUGCUAAGACAAGAUGGUGGCCAACGGUGAUGCACCCGCUAGAGGGAGUGCAGCAGCAGCUGCAAGCCUGCGCAGGCGUAGAACAACAAGCGGUGCUGCUGGUGGUGGAGGUGGUGCCAGCUCGAUGCUCCAGUUCUACACCGAUGAGGCUGCUGGCGCCAAGAUGUCCCCGAACACUGUUCUGAUCAUGAGCAUUGGGUUCAUUGCCGUCGUGGCUAUGCUGCAUGUUUUCGGGAAGCUGUACCGCACUGCUAAUUAGGUUGCUGUUUACCAUGCCGAAGAAAGCUUAGUCUAUCAAGAGAGGGAAACCUUGUAGAGCGAUUUAAAUGGAUAUCAAGUGACUAUCAGAUUCUGAAAAGAAUAUGCUGUUGCAGAAGUUUAUGCAGCUUGCAAUGCUGAGCUGUCAUGGUUAAAAUCCUUUCCAGUCUUGUUUGGUCUUUUCUGCA